UACGAAGGGAGCUAGCGUUGUUCGGAAUCACUGGGCGUAAAGCGCACGUAGGCGGAUGUGUCAGUCAGGGGUGAAAUCCCGGAGCUCAACUUCGGAACUGCCUUUGAUACAGCACGUCUUGAGUCCGAUAGAGGUGGGUGGAAUUCCUAGUGUAGAGGUGAAAUUCGUAGAUAUUAGGAAGAACACCCGUGGCGAAAGCGGCUACUCUGGGACGGUACUGACGCUGAGACGCGAAAGCGUGGGGAGCGAACAGG
rnacentral:rRNA from 1 species